AUUUGAAUUGUAACUAUAGAAUCAGUAUAGAUCUACUUCUAGAAUAUAUAUCUAGGUUAUAAAUAUAGUAGAAACAGAAUCUAAAAUAAUCAGAAUUUACUCUAGACUGUAACUCUAAGCAGAGUACCAAGGGACUAGAAAGAGCUAAUGUCAUCCCCCUAUUUAAAAAAGGAGAAAAAUCUGACCCAGGAAACUAUUGUUGUUACCCUGCCUUGCACCAGUGCUUGAGAUCGCACUAGCGCACUGUUGAACGUAAACAGGAAGAGCUAGAAUGGAGAGAAGAACAGUGCAUCAGGAACUGUGAAGAGUCUAAGAGGCCAACUUUUGUUCUGCCUGAAGGUUGUAGUAGGGACCUGGAGCGAAGCAGGGAAGGCUGUCAUUGGUCCACAUUCGGGUUAAGUAGCAAAGGACUGGUAUACUUAGUAGUAAGACUCUGAGGAAGCUGAAGGAUGUUAUGUGUUUACCCUAGUGAAUAAACACAACUAUUUAUUUCCUGUUAAA